AUCUACGGCCACAGAACUUGGAAAACGCUGCAUCCCGUCAGAUCUGCAAAGCUCAAGCUGAGUAUCGCUCGGUCAGUACCAAGGUCGGGGACGACUUGGGAAUUCCGAGUGCUGUAGUUA
rfam:Kwoniella mangroviensis CBS 10435 unplaced genomic scaffold supercont2.4, whole genome shotgun sequence.